CUAAAGUCAACAGAGGGAGGUACUGGAAAUAGCAUUCAGAUGGGCAGGGGAUAUCUAGUGGGUCAGAUGGAAGCACAUGAAAGAGUCAUGCUGAAGCCAGUACUGUGCAGUAAUCCUAUGAGAAUGACCAUGGCUGUCUUUACUGAUGUGGGAGGAGGGCAGAAGGAAUGACUUCAGUGCUGCUUUAAUUACUGAUCUCACUAACUGCCCUCCAAACCAGCAGGGUUUUGCCCGGAGCUGUUUCCAAAAGCCAGAAUGCGCUUCUGUAACUGAUUUACACCUGAAAGGGUGGCUCUGAUGGUUCCCCAGUAUGGAUUUUUA
rnacentral:lncRNA from 1 species